rnacentral:lncRNA from 1 species
UAAAUUAUAUGCAUUUGUUGUAAUAAUUUGCAUAGUACAUACUACAUAUGCUAAAGUCACCAAAAAGUCAUGCUUAUGUAUCAUCAUACAAUAAUUCACAAUAUAUAUAACUUAAGUUUCCAUAAUGAAUCAUUAUGAACAGAAACAUGAGCUGAAUCAAACAAAAAAACUUGCAAAGAUGAGCUGAAUGCAAAAACACUUGCAAACUUGCAAAAAACUUACAAAAAAUCAUUACUUUCCCCUCCCUGUUUUAUGAGUUCACUGGUCGGUGUCUCAUCCAGAACAAUUUUUUAUUUCUGGUAAGAAAAAAAGACCACAUGAAUAUCCAGUUAGAUAGCUAAAAAUCGCCCUUUAUACAUACAUAGAGAUAAAGGUUCUCCCUUUACACAAUUUAUACAUAAUCGCCCUUUAUACAUAAUCGCUAUAUAUUGCCCUUUAUACUCUGCAUUAAUAUUAUUACACAAUUUUCAGGGAAUUCAUUUUGAAGGAGGAAAAAGCAGUACAGAUAAAGGUUCUUCUUUUCAUUUCAAAUUAUUCAAGUAUCUAUAAUAUACAAAGUGUGGAAUAUGGGAAGAAGAAAAAGAACUUAC